rnacentral:rRNA from 1 species
GUGGGGAAUAUUGGACAAUGGGCGAAAGCCUGAUCCAGCCAUGCCGCGUGUGUGAAGAAGGUCUUCGGAUUGUAAAGCACUUUAAGCUGGGAGGAAGGGCAGUAAGUUAAUACCUUGCUGUUUUGACGUUACCAACAGAAUAAGCACCGGCUAACUUCGUGCCAGCAGCCGCGGUAAUACGAAGGGUGCAAGCGUUAAUCGGAAUUACUGGGCGUAAAGCGCGCGUAGGUGGUUCAGCAAGUUGAAGGUGAAAUCCCCGGGCUCAACCUGGGAACUGCCUCCAAAAAUACUGAGCUAGAGUACGGUAGAGGGUAGUGGAAUUUCCUGUGUAGCGGUGAAAUGCGUAGAUAUAGGAAGGAACACCAGUGGCGAAGGCGACUACCUGGACUGAUACUGACACUGAGGUGCGAAAGCGUGGGGAGCAAACAGGAUUAGAUACCCCAGUAGUCC